GAUAAUUUACAUUUCUAGAGAACAAGCUCUUUAUGGUACAUAGAAAUAAUCCUGUCAUACAGUGACCAUUCAGAGAGGGAUAAAAACCUUAUAUAUGAAACUUUCACUAAUAACCUGAAACAUCACCACAGAGACAGUUGGGUUAUCCUGUUUGUUUGGACAUCCACUUAUUCACUUGAAAUGCAGGAAAUCUAUUUGAAAAAAACAAAACAAAACAUGAUCAGUUACUUGAUACAAUCAUGAGAUGUGAUCGAGAAAAACUUAUUAAGGAAUUAUUUUGUCAGAGUCAGUCUCUCUCAACAAGAAAAAGAAGAGAAUGUUUUCUGAAAAAUGAAAUUUUGGAUAAAUUUGAAGGGGCGUUAGACUGUGGCAAAGGAAAUGCAUGACAAAUCUUGGGAAUAGAAUAAGGGAAGAAACUUGGUGAGAGCUAUUUUACUUCCAAAUUUAAAGAUUUGCAGACUUUUCAAGAGAGAUUUCUGGCAUGCUCUUGUAACCUGCUCUGGCCAAUAAAAUCUGAGUGAAAUUUCCUGGAAGAGCUUUGUAGAAUCAAUAUGUGGUACUCAUUCUUCUUCUACGAGAUGAGAAAUGUUCUAUAUCGAAGCUACUCUGUCAGCCAAAAUAGUGAUAGACAUGUUCUGAAUGAGGGAGAAAAAUAAGGGCGAAUAUCAAUGAUUGAAAAGUUUGCUCGGGCUGCCAUAACAAAAUGCCAUGGACUGUGUGGCUUAAACAACAGAGAUUAAUUUUCUCACAUCUCUGGAGGCUACAAGCUCAAGGUGUUGGCAGGUCUGGUUUCUCCCGAAGCCUCUCUCCCUGGUUUGCAGGUGCAUCCAUGUGGGUGAGUAUGUUUAAAACAAACACCUCAGGAUAUGUGAUAUGCUAAAUGGAAAAGUAAGGAAAACAUACAAGAUUGCCGUGUUUUUCAUCGAGUCACUAGUGCAAUUCCUCAGAUUUCUGACAAGCUGCCUACAUCCCUUGGGAAGGGGAUUUGUAGUGAGGCUACUAUAAAAUUAGUAUUUGAUUGGAGAUGUUUAAAAACUUC
rnacentral:lncRNA from 1 species